AGGAGUUUGGUGUGUAGAAUGCUCCGCACACUGGUUCAGCUGAUGAGAACUUUGGAUAGAAUGCCAGAAGAGCACAAAUAAAUGUGCUUUGUGUACCAAAAGCCACCAGAAUAUGAGCCUCCAUUUUUCAGAGGCUGCAAAGAAGAAGAAACUCGGAACUUAUGGACCAAGAAUUCUUUGAAAAUGGAGGUUGGGAAUAUAAACAGCAAGCAUCUUGUCUUAGUUGUCAAGGUAAUGAGUGUUCUUGAUCUCUGUGAGGAUGAAAAUGAUGAUAUUCAAGAUGAUGCAGUGAGCUUAGGAGUUGACUCAAUGCAAUGGAUGACGCUUCUGAUUCUGACAGUGAGGUUAACCAAUCACAAUAGAACCAAUAUAUAGUUGCUCCUGCUGGUAGGAUAUAUCCUUCAGACUAUAGUUUCGUUUCCUGAUACCUUUGGUCUGAGUUGGUGGUCAAAGUAAUAAGGUUCUCUGGCACCUAAGCAUCAACCACAGGAAGAUAAUGGCAUCGGUUAGGAAGAUAAUUGCAUGAGUGAUGAAGCUACGGAUGAUACUCAAGAUCCAGAAGAAGAUGCACACAAAUCU